rnacentral:rRNA from 1 species
GUACACUCCUGCGGGAGGCAGCAGUGGGGAAUAUUGAACAAUGGGCGCAAGCCUGAUCCAGCCAUGCCGCGUGAGUGAUGAAGGCCCUAGGGUUGUAAAGCUCUUUCACCGGUGAAGAUAAUGACGGUAACCGGAGAAGAAGCCCCGGCUAACUUCGUGCCAGCAGCCGCGGUAAUACGAAGGGGGCUAGCGUUGUUCGGAUUUACUGGGCGUAAAGCGCACGUAGGCGGACUAUUAAGUCAGGGGUGAAAUCCCGGGGCUCAACCCCGGAACUGCCUUUGAUACUGGUAGUCUUGAGUUCGAGAGAGGUGAGUGGAAUUCCGAGUGUAGAGGUGAAAUUCGUAGAUAUUCGGAGGAACACCAGUGGCGAAGGCGGCUCACUGGCUCGAUACUGACGCUGAGGUGCGAAAGCGUGGGGAGCAAACAGGAUUAGAUACCCCAGUAGUCCCAUGA